rnacentral:lncRNA from 1 species
ACUGCAAAGACCGCCAUCUCGGCCGACUCGACGCCGGCUCCCCUUUCUGAAGCGGCGCUCUCGGACAUUUUUUUUUCGCGCUUGGCCCUGCCUGCUCGCUCGGCGGCGGCGGUUCAACAUGGAAGACGACGAAAUCGGGAUGGUGGCGGGCAUCGCCGUCGGCUGCUUCCUCCUUGGGGCUGCCCUCGCCUGCUGUUGUUGCUGCCUCGUCGGCGCGCUCUUGGCGCAAAAGAUGAACACGGGCCGAUAGGAAUACCAACACGCUUUGUUUUCGCUCAUCGGCUGCGCCACUCAUGUACAUAAAUAAAGAAAAUCGCAAGUGAAAAAAAAAGAAAUGUGU